rnacentral:lncRNA from 1 species
GGCAGUCGUCGGUAACGUGGCCGCAGCCCGAGAGCGUGACGGACGCCAGGUUGGGGCACCUGUGAGGAGAGUGCGGUGACCCGGGGCUCACUGGCUUGUUAAAGCUACCCAACCGCCCCAUGGGACCGAGUGGACUCAUUUACCGAGGAGGACUCGGGCCCUGCGAGGUCACUUCAUCCUGGCCCAGGUACUGCAGCUCCAAAUCGUGGGGAUUCUGUAAGAGCUUGCUACCUGUUGACUGAGGAGGCCCACGAGUUGAGAAGAACUAGCAAGAGUGGUACAAAACUGCAGGUCAUUGGGCUGGCCACCAGGUAUUCCCACCCACCAGAAGCUGGCUGUUGUACUCACCCGGAACCAUGGUGCACCACCACAGCGGCGAGGUCAUACAGGCAGCUCUCCGGGCCACUGUUCUCAGGCUACAGAACAAGGAAGAAGGAGCAGUGGUCAAUGACAUCAGUAUCUCGAUGACCUCUACCCUCUCCAUGUGAUGACAAUCUUACUGAAGAGCCAUUUUUUCACCAUGCUAAAAAGGUAACCACCUUACCUCUAGUAAGUAGCAUUUCAUGUCUAGGCCUCUCAGUGGAAAUUCUACGUAUGUAUCAACUUUAUUUCUUAAAUAUGCUGUCCAAUGAAAUCUUUUCAAAUGUAAGCAUAGCACCUGGAGGACAGAGAUGCGGUCAAAGAUUGUGAACACCUAAUUUACCUUUCAGUCAAAGUUUGAUACUACUAUCAGUUCAGUAAAUAACAUUUUAGCUGCCCUAUCAAUCAUUCUUCCAUGCAUACCUUAUGCAUUCAUUCUGUAAGGGGUUUAGCUUUUACUGAAAAUCCUAGAGAAAAAUACAGAACAGUUCACAUAGUGUAAAGUUAUAGACAUGGUCUUAGCAGUCAAGCACUUUCCCAUUGAAAUUGCUUCAUAACUCAAAAUUCAACACUCACCUUGGGUAGUUUUUGAAUCCAAAACUUUUUUGUGGACUUUUGUUUCUUUUUGCAUUUAUGGCACAUAUAUAACUCUGUCUCAUCAAGUUCUUCUAAGUCGGUAAAACUGCGAAGACAAUCUAAACAAAUUGAUUUUGGCAGCAUUAAAACAAGAUGCCUUUUGUAGAGGCAAUGUACUGUAGAAAAAAGACCCAGGUUUAAAAUCUCAGCUUUAUUAGCUAUACGACCUUAGAAAAGUUAACCUUUCUCAAUUGCAAACUGGAGACAAAAAAUAAUACCUACUUUGAAGAACUAUUAUAAGGAAGAGAAAUAAUGUGUAGAGCACCUGGCAUCAUGCCUGACAUCUGGUGAUGAUCAAUUGUGUUGGUUUUACUAUUAAUGAUAAUUCAUCUGGAUAAUUCUGAUAAAAUGGUUUCCUGAUGAAUUUAAAGUUUCAAUUGUAGUUUUCUGUCAAUAUGUUACAUUAUACAGGACAAAGCUCCAAACUCAUAAAAAAAA